rfam:Hydrogenophaga sp. Root209 contig_4, whole genome shotgun sequence.
GGGUGCUUAGCUCAGUUGGCAGAGCGGCUCCUUUACACGGAGUAGGUCGGCGGUUCGACCCCGUCAGCACCCA